rnacentral:tRNA from 1 species
GCGCUCGUAGCUCAACUGGAUAGAGUGUCUGACUACGGAUCAGAAGGUUGGGGGUUCGAAUCCUCUCGGGCGCGCCA